rnacentral:tRNA from 1 species
GCGGGGAUAGCUCAGUUGGGAGAGCGUCAGACUGAAGUCCGACUCCAGUUCUAAAUCUGAAGGUCGUGUGUUCAAUCCACACUCACCGCA